CCUACGGGUGGCAGCAGUGAGGAAUAUUGGUCAAUGGGCGGGAGCCUGAACCAGCCAAGCCGCGUGAGGGAAGAAGGUACAGCGUAUCGUAAACCUCUUUUGUCAGGGAACAAAGGCGGGGACUAGUCCCCGGAUGAGGGUACCUGAAGAACAAGCAUCGGCUAACUCCGUGCCAGCAGCCGCGGUAGUACGGAGGAUGCGAGCGUUAUCCGGAUUUAUUGGGUUUAAAGGGUGCGCAGGCGGCCUGUUAAGUCAGCGGGAAAAGCCCGGGGCUCAACCCCGGCGAGCCGUUGAAACUGGCGGGCUGGAGUUGGAGAGAAGUACGCGGAAUGCGCGGUGUAGCGGUGAAAUGCUUAGAUAUCGCGCAGAACCCCGAUUGCGAAGGCAGCGUACCGGCUCCACACUGACGCUGAGGCACGAAAGCGUGGGUAUCGAACAGGAUUAGAUACCCCAGUAGUC
rnacentral:rRNA from 1 species